rnacentral:tRNA from 1 species
GCCUCUGUAACUCAGUGGCAGAGUGCUGCUCUUGUAAACCAGGAGUCGUGAGUUCAAUCCUCACAGGAGGCA